rnacentral:lncRNA from 1 species
GCUCGCCGCGCUCCUGCUCGCCGUGGCGGUGGGCGGCGCCGCGGCGCAGGGCGUGGGCUCCGUCAUCACGCAAUCGGUGUACGCGAGCAUGCUGCCCAACCGCGACAACUCGCAGUGCCCGGCCAGGGGGUUCUACACGUACGACGCCUUCAUCGCCGCCGCCAACACCUUCCCGGGCUUCGGCACCACCGGCAGCGCCGACGACGUCAAGCGCGAGCUCGCCGCCUUCUUCGGCCAGACCUCCCACGAGACUACCGGUACGUCAAUCAGUCAGUCAGUGUUGCUUUCGGAACUCGAUCGUGGCUGCCUUGAUUAACCGUACGUGCUUGUGCAUGGAAUGCCAACGUUGCAGGAGGGACGAGAGGCGCCGCCGACCAGUUCCAAUGGGGCUACUGCUUCAAGGAGGAGAUAAACAAGGCCACGUCUCCACCCUACUAUGGACGGGGACCCAUUCAAUUGACAGGGUGAGAAAAAUUGCAAAUUAUUAUAGCACACUUUGAAGCAUCUUCUACAUGCAAAAUAUUUCCUCUGUAUCUAAAUAAUUAUAGUUGUUGCCAUGAAAAGAACAAAGGAAGUACCGUUUCAAAAAAAUAAAAUAAAUACCACACACUGAAAUAAUCUGUAGAAAAAUCUGCUUGAAAAGUACAGCAGUGUUGACAUUCAUUUUCGCAUGCAAUCAUUCUAGUAACAACAAAGACCCGAGGCCUUGGUUGCUUUGCGGAAAAGAUUGUUCUGAUGAACCAAUAAUUCCUUGUGCGAUUGACCAGGCAGUCCAACUACGAUCUCGCCGGGAGGGCGAUCGGGAAGGACCUUGUGAGCAACCCGGACCUGGUGUCCACAGACGCGGUGGUGUCCUUCAGAACGGCCAUUUGGUUCUGGAUGACGGCGCAAGGCAACAAGCCGUCGAGCCACGACGUCGCCCUAGGCCGCUGGACGCCGACGGCUGCCGAUACAGCUGCAGGUCGGGUGCCUGGAUACGGCGUAAUCACCAAUAUCAUCAACGGCGGGCUCGAGUGCGGCAUGGGCCAGAACGACGCCAACGUCGACCGCAUCGGCUACUACACGCGCUACUGCGGCAUGCUUGGCACGGCCACCGGAGGCAACCUCGACUGCUACACCCAGCGAAACUUCGCUAGCUAGACACUAUGGAUAGUGUAUGCACGUGUUACGAAUAAAGGGCUACACUCAUGAAUAAGGGGCAACACAUAUCCCAUCAUGAAAUAAAUAAUUCGAUAUGUGAUCCAGUUGAUCGUGUCGUAUGAUAAUACGAGUAAGUUGUUGUAACAAAUUAUGUAAAUUGUUCAAUAAAAUCAUAUCAUUACAACUGGUUUUUUAAAUAUGGUACACUAAAAAUAAUCCACAUACACGAGUAUACACUCAUCUCUAUAAAGAUACGCAUGCAUAUCCUAUUCUAUCCAUAUGAGCACCUUCGAAAGACUGGCCCAACACAUCAUCUUGAUAUUGACAAAGUCAUCACAUAUACCUUCAUAGUCGACGGAAAUGUCUCUUCUCACUAAACGCACAUGGUUGAAAACCAGAAAUAAAUGAAGAAAAAUAGGAACACUAAUGUCAUGUAUGGACUUGAACUCUAGUGAAUAUACAUAUCACUCUCUUUCUAACCAUCAAAGCACAGAUUGGUAUCAUUGUUUUAUUUUGUUGUAUGUGAGAGGAUGUAUAGCAGACCAACUAACGUGACAAAUAUUUUACUUGUUUAAUCAGUUCUUCAUAACAAAAAGGAAAGAAAAGUCAGGAUUUAUGAAAUGAAUGAGGCUAACGCGUGUUUCGUUGCAUCGGUCUUCACUCGUUUUUUUAGAAAAGGAGGAUGAUCCCCGGCCUCUGCAUCUGGAAGAUGCAUGCGGUCAUUUUAUUGAUUAUUCUCGAGGACCUUACAAAGCAGUACAACAAUAUGCCUGAAUCCGCCAUCUUGGCAACAUCUGCCGCUACUCCUAUCCAUAUGAUGAAGGGGUGCAAGCUGGACCAAAUACCCAGACCUCUCACCUAAGCCUAACAUCUAAAGCCGGAUACCCUGACCGAGCCACAUACCGGGUCCGGGGCACAAACCGGUCCGACGCACUCACAUGUGUCGUCGCCGCCAUCUUCCAUUGCUCCAUCUUCAGAUCAGAUUGAGGUACCAGCCUUGGCAGGUGCCUCCUCCAUCGACGCCAUCAUGAUGCCAAACGACGACAUCCACCAACGCGAGUCCAUCUCCAAGCAACUGACGAAGAUCCAUGCUAGGAUAGGGCCGCAUCACCGCCGUCGCCCACCACCCACAAGCGCCACCCAGCCCCAAGGUUCCCAAAGCGACGCCUUCAAGAAGGGAACGGCGCCGUGAGCGCCGCCGCCGCCCAACAAAGUUAGGGCUUUCGCCGGGAGACCUAGGGGAAGGGGAAGUGAGGGGAUCAGUCCAUACCAACGCCUCCAAGGAGGGGAACGACGCCCUCGGGCGUCGCCGUCGACGCGGCCGGCCAUGGCCGACCAGGGAUUUCGCCCGACCUAGAUCCCCACCACCAGCAGCACCUCCUGUACAAAACCGGCAAUCCAAGGAAGCGCGGCCCGACCAGGCUGGCCCACACGCCGAACAGGGAAGGAGGGGAGGCGCUAGAUCGCGCGCACCGGCCACCGCAAAAGCCGCCACCAGACGUCAGCGACCACCGGAUCCCGCCGCCCGCGUGGCCGAGACGCCGGAUCCACCUCCCGCACGGCUGCUAGCCUACCGUGCCUCGCCAAUGAAGCCGCCGUUCCAGAUCCGGAACUCCACAUGCAGAGGCAGGGUAACCUAGGCCCCGCCGCCACCAUCCUUGGCGCCCCGGGCUUGCCCGGCGGCUGCCUCAGGCGGCGGCGAGGAAGGGAUGGGGAGGGGGAGGCGGCUAGGGUUGGGAUGGAGGGAGCGUGGGAUUAACUUUAUAUAUAUAUCAGUUUACUGCAGACAGUUGUUUGAUUUUGGCUUUAUCAGUUGUCUUGAGUUUUAGUUAUAUUUUGGUGGUGGUUUUUUCCUUUCAUAUAUUUUGUUGGCUUUUGUUGAAAAUGAUUUUUUUAGAUGAGAUUAGAGUUGUUCGAUGUGGGGUUUUGGGGUCUUCAAACCUUUCGGCCUUGGAGUCAGCCGAGGAUGGUUUCAUGAGCCCUUUGGGAGCUCUCAUUCCAUACUAAAAUUGUAGAAUCGCUCCUAAGAGCAUCUCUAAUAGGGCAGCCUCUUUUCAAUUAUAGGGCAGGCAAAAUCGAGAUAUAGGACAGCAAAACAACAGUCGUUUUACCAGCAGCCCAAGAUAGGGCAGCACCCGCCCCAGCAGCCACUACUAAGAAAAGGGCUAUAGAUGAUAUAGAUAUUAAUGCCGCACCACACAAGCCGUGCGCCACUACUAUAUAAUAAUGGCGUACCAUGUGAGGUGUGCCAUUAGUGUGGUGGAUAUUAAUGGCGCACCACACUCUCGGUGCGCCACUACUAUAUAUAUAUAUAUAUAUAUUUUUGCAAAACUACUAAUGGUGCACCAGCACCUGGUGCGCCAUUAGUAACCUGGUUACUAAUGGCACAUAUGUUAGUAGUGCGCCACUACUAUAAAAAAAAUUGGUUUUUUUUUGCAAACUACAAAUGGCGCACCAAAGCUAGUGCGUCAUUAGUAAGCAGUGUUACUAAUGGCGCAUCUAUUGGUGGUGCACCACUACUAUUUUUUUUACAGAACUACUAAUGGUGCACCAGAGGAGGUGCGUCAUUAGUAACCAGGGUUACUAAUGGCGCAUAUGUAGGUGGUGCGCCAUUAGUAACCUGGGACCAGCUAGAUAUUUUGGACAACCACCUACCACACUCACUUUCCCCACUUUCAUUCUCUCCACCUCCUCCUCCAAGCUUGUCUCAGGUGCCUCCUCCUCCUCACCUCAUUUGCAUCAUAGAUUCACCCAAAUUAAGUGGUUAAAUUACCUUUUUUUGAUAGGUAAGUAAGGGGAAAGCUUUUAUGUUGUAGAUCUACUUUUUUCUCCCUCCAACAACGUGCACAUGCACUUUUUAUGGCCUAGCUAGAUCUACGUAUGUUUGUUGUGUUGCAUAUGUUUGUGGUGUUGCAUAUUUGUUUGUGUUUGCAGGUACCGGUAUUUGAAAUGCGAUAGUUGCCAAUAUUUUCCCGGAAUGUUGAUUCAUUUCCGUUUCGGUGAGAAUUUGGCACUAUGCAUUCUUUUUUGUCCUAUUUUUAGGCAAAGUCAUGCCAAAAAAAAAUUUUGGUUAUAAAAUAUCAUUUUGCUUUACCCCGCACGCGACCAUGGUCCGCACGAUGACCGAAGGCAUCGUGAAUAGGUUUUUGAGCUCCGCGAAGGCCGAGAUGCUUCAAAAGAACGAGACGAAGAUAAGAUGUCCGUGUCGAAGAUGCAAGCUGAAGAGCCUUAUGGACCCGGAUUCCGUAAAGGUGCGGGACCACCUGCUCUUGCGUGGUUUCAUGGAUGGCUAUCGGUGGCAAGGUGAUGAAGAUGAUUAUGAAGUCGUCCAUGGGGGCCGGGAAAGAAAUGAGGAAGGGCAUGAGCAAGACAACCGCGGCGAGGGCGGGCGAGAAGACGAAGAAUCUCCAGGACACAGUCAUCAUGUAGAAGAUGCCGGACAUGAUGAUGAGGAAGAUGCCGGAGCAGACGAAGGGCAUGAUCAUGAAGAUGAAGAUGCCGGAGCAGACGACGAUGGACCAUCCAUGCCCUGGGUGCAGGACCCUCAUAUUCAAGAGCUGCUUCUCAAGCAGACGGAUAACGCAAGAGCUGCCGCCCGAGAGAAAGCCAAGCUGGAUCAACUUGAGAUAGACGCGGUUACUCCAUUGUAUGAAGGAUGCAGGCCCGAGGAUACCCGCCUGAAAGUAAUGCUCAUGGCUCUGGAGAUGAAGGUAAAACACAAAAUGACCGACGCAUGCUUCGACGAGAACAUGUCAUUCUGGCACGAACGUCUUCCCAAGGGGAACAACUGCCCGACCAGUUUCGAGGAGGCAAAGAAAAUCGUGUGUCCUCUGGAUUUACCGCACGUGAAAUACCAUGUGUGCAUGAACAAUUGCAUCAUUUAUCGGGACGAGCACGCGGAGUCUACCAUAUGUCCGGUGUGCAGCGUCAGUCGAUACAAGAAGAGGAAGAAAGCUCCUCAAAAAGUGGUGUGGUACUUUCAUAUCACUCCUCGUCUGCAACGGUAUUUCGCGGACCCUAAGGUAGCAAAGCUCCUGCGUUGGCACGCGGAUAGGGAGGAGAAAAAGCGAGAAGAUGACGGAAAUGAUCCGGAGAUAAAUAAAAAAGACAAGAUGCUGAGUCACCCUAAGGAUGCGAGCCAGUGGCAAGCGUUGAACUACGAAUACCCAGAAUUUGGGGACGAUCCAGGGAACAUCGUGCUGGGCGCGAGCACCGAUGGAGUCAAUCCGUUUGGCAGCCAGAAAAUCACACAUAGCACCUGGCCUGUGUUUGUGUGGAUGUACAACCUUCCCCCUGGUUGUGCACGAAGAGGAAGUACAUUCACAUGAGUAUGCUAAUUGAAGGGCCUAAACAACCAGGGAACGACAUCAAUCUAUAUCUGGGGCUGUUGAAAGAGGAGCUAGACACGCUGUGGAAAACGCGAGCCAAUACGUGGGACGCCGCAGAGAAAGAAUAUUUCCCUAUGAGAGCCGCACUGCUCCCGACGGUGCACGACUAUCUCGGUUAUGGAUAUGUCGCGGGGCAGGUGGUCCACGGGUUUUCUGGAUGCGUCAGGUGCAUGGAUGACACAAUGUAUCGCCAGCUAGAUAGAGAUCCCGGGUCUUCAAAAACCGUGUUCAUGGGACCUCGAAGGUGGCUUCGCAACGAUGACACAUGGAGAAAACGCAAGGAUCUGUUCGAUGGUGAAACCGAACCCCGAAGACGCCCCCUUAUGAGGAGCGGCGAGGAAAUAUACGAGCUGUUGAAAAAUUGGAAAAAGUGCCCACCGCCGGGAAAGGCGCUAGAGCCGGGAAAGAAGCGAAAGGCGCUAGAGCCGCUCCUGAAGGUAUGGAAAACGAGGUCUGUUUUCUGGGACUUGCCGUACUGGAAGAUCCUCCGUGUGCCUCACAGCCUUGAUGUCAUGCAUAUCAUGAAGAACGUGUGCAAGAGUCUGCUUGGUACCCUGCUCAACAUGCCAGAGAGGACCAAAGAUGGACCGAAAGCAAGGGCAGACUUGAAAUCAAUGGGCAUCAGGGAGGAGCUUCAUGCUAAUAAUGAUGAUGAUGAUGAUGAUGAGGCGAAGCAGGACACGGAAAGUCGUCGCAAAGGCAAAAAGUACAAGAAGACCGGAAAUGACUUUCCUCCCGCGUGCUUCACUCUAAGUCAGGAGGAGAUCGAUCAGUUUUUCACCUGCCUCAUAGGAGUAAAACUUCCUUACGGUUACGCGGGGAAGAUAAGCAGAUACCUAGACUCAGCGAAGCAGAAGUUUAGCGGGAUGAAGUAUCACAACUGUCACGUGCUGAUGACGCAGAUACUUCCAGUUGCAAUCCGUGGGAUCAUGGACGCGCACGUCCGUGAAAUGCUUUUUGACCUAUGCAACUUUUUCGACGUCAUCUCUCGGAAGUCGGUUGGCGUGAGGCAACUCAGAAGGCUACAGGAAGAGAUCGUGGUGAUACUAUGCGAGCUUGAGAUGUACUUCCCGCCCGCAUUCUUCGACGUUAUGGUGCAUCUGCUGGUCCAUAUCGUGGAGGAUAUCAUCCAACUCGGGCCGACGUUCCUGCACAUCAUGAUGCCGUUCGAAAGGAUGAAUGGUGUCAUCAAAGGAUACGUCCGCAACAUGUCACGUCCAGAGGGAAGCAUAGCCAGGGGCUUUCUGACCGAAGAGUGCAUCUCCUACUGCACGAAUUAUCUAGGCAUCGAGAACCUCGUUGGUCUGCCCGUCAACAGGCACCUCGGCAGGCUCGCAGGAUGGGGUCACCGUGAGGGUCGCCGCGAAAUGCAUGUCGACUUCGAGGGUCGACUCGCCGACUUUGAAAGAGCAAACCUAGUCGCGCUACAACACAUAGACGUGGUCGAUCCUUGGGUCGUAGAGCACAAAACCUUUAUUGAAAAGACGUACAAUGACCGAGGCCAACAGAGGACGGACGGAGAUAUAAUCAAAGAGCACAACUCAUGUUUAACGCGUUGGUUCAAGCAGAAGCUUUUGUCGUAGCCUUUACAUGAGGAUUCUUCCGCGGAAGAACAACUCAUAUUCGCCUUGUCACAGGGCGCCGAGCACAACCUGAUGAUGUAUGAGGCGUACGAUACCAACAGCUACACAUUCUACACCGAGGGAAAGGACAUGAAGAGCGAUGGUUAUCAGAACUCCGGGGUAACGAUGGAAUCCUACACCGGUAACGACAAGGACAGAUACUACGGAAGGAUCGAGGAGAUCUGGGAGCUGAGCUGCGCUGGAGAGAAGGUCCCGAUGUUCCGUGUCAGAUGGGCCAAGAGCGUCAUAAAAGAAGACCGGUAUUUCACCACCAUGGUUAUACCCGAAGCCAAAUCCAAGACCGCGGGCGCAAAAGUCACCGCGAAAAAUGAGCCAUGGGUACUGGCUUCCCAAGUGGACCAAUGCUUCUUCAUUACCGACCCGCCAAAGCCCAGUCGUGUUGUCGUGAGGAGAGGCAAAAGGAAGAUCAUCGGAAUGGAUGGAGUCGCCAAUGAGCAAGACUUCGACAAGUACGGCGACCCGAAGAUGGAACAUGACGACGAUGAUGAAGUACCAGCAUACACCACAAGAAGAAGCAGGACCACCCUACCUAAAGGACGUCCGUUCAAGAGAAGAACUCCAUUUACGAAAAAUAAGGGCAAGAAGAUUGUGAACAAAUAGCUAGCUAAGAUCGAUUAUAUUUAAAUUUGAUGAUAUUUUUUCAUAUUCAAUAUGAAAAAAUAUUGAAUAUUCAUGAGGACACUCGAUCUCGAUCCCCUCCAUCUCGAUCGCUAUCACCCCUCGCAAGAUCCCCCUCGCCGCCGAGCACCCCCCGCACCCUCCCCCGCUCCACCACCGUCGCCGUCGGCAUACUUACCACUAGAACACCUAUUCAGAAGAUACUAGGCACUUCUCAAAAAAAUACUAGGCACUUCUCAAACCAAGGUGCAACCAGCACAAGAAAACAAUGCAAAAAAAAUAAAAAUACUAGGCACUAGAUGUUGUUGUGAGGCACUAGAUAUUCAUAGGCAUCUAAUUGCAAACAUAAAAAAAAAUACUAGACAUCUACUUGCAAACAUAAAAAAAUUUACUAGGCACUUCUCAAACCAAGGUGCAACCAGCACAAGAAAACAAUGCAUAGAAAAAAAGGAAAAAAGAGAGGGGGGAAGAGGAUUCGAACCCGCAACCUCCUGCUAGGAGGCAAAACCCACGGACCACUGUGCUGCUACUUCGGAGGUUAACAACAUAGAGAAGGCGCACCUCAUAUACAUGCGCCAUUACUACAUAAAAAAACAUUCUAAUGGCGCACCGCUCGGGGUGCGCCAUUCCUAAGCCGGGCCGCGCCCUCCUCUCUUCUCCCGCGGCCUCCCCCUACCCCUUUCCACCAAACAGCAGCUCCCCCACCUUCGUCCACGCAGCCCACGGAGCUCUGGCGGCGCUAGGGUUUUCUCCGCCUCUGCCUCCGCCUCAGAUAGCCGAGGUGCGAAAUAUUAUCAGCCCCAACACACUCAAGAAGGUGGUCUCUGAGCAGAUGAACUGGAUCCCAUUACAUCAGCAGAAGAAGGGAUGAAAAAGAAAGACUAACAAGGGUGCGAGCCAGCCGGCACUGAGUACGAUCCGUGCUCUGGACGGGCCACCUUCACCUAAGGAUAUCUCGAGGAGGGUGCAUGUGGCGGGUAGGCCGAUGCUACCGACUAAUCUACUCAAUGCUGCAACUGGUGCUAUGCGGAGUCUGCAUGACAGUGUUCUUUGUUUGGAGAAGCGGCGUCUCUCCGAGAAUAAUGUGGCAUACCCGGUUUUCGUGGCCAAGGUGCCAGAGGGCAAGGGCUUUGUCGAUAGGCCAUCGGGGGUAUGAUCGUCCUGCGGUUUGUUGACAUCUUCGCUAUGUUUAACCUUCAUCCGCUGCACUACACCUUCGUUCGGCUAUUUUCGCUGAGUAUGGAGAUGCGGAUCAUUAGAGACAAGACCCCGAACCUAGUGAUAGUCGACCCCUUCUAUAUGCGUGCCAAGAUCUUGGGCAGCGCUGGGGACCGGCAAGUCACGAGUUCAUACCUCGAAGGCGUCAUUCUGGCAAACUCAGAAAAGGAUAACUUCCUCGUGCCUUACUUUCCCUGGUAAGUUAUCCCCUCAUCGCCACGUAACAUAUGAUUUCUUAGAUUUUGAUCGUCCUUUUUUUCUAACAUUCCGUGUUUUGUGCAGUGACACACGUUGCACACUCAUCCUCUUAAGUCUGAAAUAUUCCACGGCCACGUAUUUCGACUCGGACCGUCAGUCAAAAAAAGACUACACAAAUAUCAAGAAAGUUCUUGAUGAAGCUCUUCCCGGCUAUGCCAUAUCUGGAGGCACCUUCAGCAGGACAAGUCUCAGGCACGGCAAGCACGUGUUCACCCACAAUACGACGUUCGCCUGCGUCAAGCAGCCGCCUGGCAGUCAGAAGGAUGCCUACUACGCCCUCCAUCACAUGCGGGCGAUCAUACGGGAUAGUAAUCACCUUCGGCUACCAAAUAAUCUCAAAUAUUGGGCCGCACACUUGUCGGCAAUCCAGGAUGCGGACAUCAGACAAGAAUUCUUUCGCAUCCAGUCGGAGUUUGCAGAAAUCAUCCAUCAAGAUGUCCUUCGUACCUCGGGGCAGUUCUACCUCAGAUCUCCGCUGUCCUAUACUGAGAUAGAUACAAUGCUACAAAUGCAGGCUGACAACGACCGCAAUUUCAUGACCAUCACGAAAGAUGGCGGCUUCAUCCACGUUCCCGUGAAUCGCUACUAAUUCAUGUUGCAAUAUUAAACUUUAAUGAACUGGUAUGUCUCUUUGGUUUGGACAGUCGUUCAACUUAUAUAUAAUCGAUGCUAUUUAUUAGUAGGACCAUGAAUCGUGCUGUUAUAGUUGUAAUAUUAAACUUUAAUGAACUUGUAUGUCUCUGUGAAUUGCUACUAACGUUUUGUUUGGCUAGUGCAUAGAGAUGCCGUCGUAUGUCGUGUACAAGGGUAAGGUUCCCGGAGUCUACGACGACUGGGAGGAGUGUCGGAGACAGGUUCACCGAUUCAGCGGUAACAGUUACAAUGGGUACACCACAAGGGCGGAGGCGGAAGUUAGAUACGCGCGCUAUCUACGGGAGAGAGGAGGGAGCGUUGGAGGAACCGGAUGAAGACCAGUUUCAUUGCGAUUAUGCUCAUCGUGAUGACCGCAUCUCUCUUCUAUAUGUGAUGGUAGUUUAGAUGGUCGAUAUAUCAACUUGUAAUGUGAAGACAAAUUCGCUGCUCGCGGUCUCGAGACUUGUAGUAUUCUAACUUUUUUCGGUAUUUUAAAUUCGGAGACUAAUAUGAUGAAUUGUAUUCGGAGACUAAUCUUCUAUUGUAUUCGAUAAAUCUGUUGUUUAUAUGUUGUGCUAUCCAUAUUCUGUGCAAUAAUAUAUUUUGUAAUAUGUGCAAAUAUCAGAAAAAAUAAAAUAAAUACCUAAUAUUCAUACUAGUGACGCAUCACUCAGCACACUAGUGCGCCAUUAGUAAGCGAGAGCAUAUGGGUAAAUAUGGCCCUGGGAGGCAUACUAAUGGCGCACCACAAGCUAUACUAAUGGCGCACCAGGAUAUAUACUAAUGGCGCACCAGUAUCUAUACUAAUGGCGCACCGUGAGCAAUACUAAUGGCGCACCGUGAGCAAUACUAAUGGCGCACCGUGAGCAAUACUAAUGACGCACCGUGAGCAAUACUAAUGGCGCACUACCUGGUGCGUCAUUAGUAUACCAGAUACUAAUGGCGCACUUGUAAUGCGCCAUUAGUAAAAAAAUCUAAUGGCGUGAUGCUAGUGGCGCACCUAUAGUGCGCCAUUAGUAGCAAAAAAUGGUGCGCCAUUAGAAGGCCUUUUCCUAGUAGUGAGCUGCCCUCCAUGCUUGGGCUUCUUCCUCUUGUGCAAAAGCAAAAUCAAAGCAAUGUCUUCUUCAUCCUCCAAAUCGUAUUCCCCAUCGGAUGAAUCCUCAAUCAAAACCAUCUACAAACAAACUAGACCGUAUUAAAAAGUGUAAUCCUAAACUACAAACACAAAAAGCAAACAAAAAGUUGAAUACACAUUACCUCGAACACCUUGCGGGCGGCCGAACCGGUGGGUGGCAGCUGCGUCGCCGGAGCAAGCCUCUCCUAGUUGCUGCUGCCGUCGCUGGGUGUUGCAGGCGGCCAAGGGGAAGCAUAAGAGCGUCGUCGGGGUCGCGGCGGCGGCAUAAUCGGCGUCGGUGCCCCGGAUUCGUACAGCGGCGGCGGCGGCGGCAGAUCAACAAUUUAGGGCACUAAACCUCUUGCCUACUUGGGCAGCGGUAUUCCGACGACGAUGGGCAGCGGUAUUCCGGCAGGGGCGAGGUGCGGGAGGGACCGGCGGUGGACGGGCAGCGGAUUUUGGGCAGGGGCGCGGCCUACGGGCGGCGGAUUUGCGGCGGCGGCGGCGGAUUUGCACCGGCGGGGUCGAGGGCGGGAGAGGCUGGGAAAUUUUCGGGUGGCAGUUCGGCUGCGCGCGCGCGUCGUUGGGAAAAUAGGGCAGCCACACAAGUGUUGUAUAUUUGCAACAGUUGGACCAAAUUUAGGGCAGUGUUGUAAAAAAUAUAGGGCAGUUGAUGAAGAUAGGGCAGCUGUUGGAGCACGUUUUUGCCUCUUUUCUGCCCUAUAUGACAGUUUUUAUGCCCCACUGCCCUAUAUAGGGCAGCUGUUAGAGAUGCUCUAACACUCACAUAUGACGGUCACUAAACCUCUUGCCCACUUAGGUUGGCUCCCUGCUCAGCUUGCUCGUUUAGCUUUUUUUUCAGCUCGCUCGACUACUAGCUUAGAAAAAAAUACUGUCCUUUUUCUUAUUUAAAAAUGUUCUCUCUUCUGCUUCUUUCCCACGCCCCCUUGCAACCCUGUUCUUUCUUCUUCUUCUUCCCCAAGAAGAAAACAACGACCCUGUCAUGGAGAAAUCCUCAUUGAGACCGGCGGUGAGAGUGCUAAGCAUGAGCUCGUCGGAGAUUUUGGUGUCGAUGUCGCGAAGCUCAUCGGCGAGCAUCUUGAGCCGCAUGCAAUAGUCAACGAUGGUGGAGUCAUCCUGGUGGCACCUGAAGAGCUCUUGUUGCAAGAAAACAAGACACUGAAGCUUGUUAUCGGUGAAGAGCGCAUUGAUCUUGGUCCACACGGUGCAAGUAUCGUCGUCAUCGGUGACGACCGUGUGGAAGAUGUCCUUCAAGAUGGUUUGGUAGAACCACCGAAUGAGAGUGACCUCGAUGGCGGACCACUCCGGGACGCCCUUCAUGUACUCAGCGUCGACGAAGCCAUCUAUGUGUUCGGUGAGGUAGUACUCGCGGAAGACAAGGUUGAAGUAGGUCUUCCACGCGUAGUACGAGGAGGUGGAGGAGUCGAGGCGGAUGGGAACACGGGCAUCGAUGUUGAUGUCGCGGAUGGCUUCGACGAAGGGUGCAGGGCCGGCGAAGGGGUUGGUGCUGGAGGUGGCCGGCGAAUUCAUGGGGCCGGCUGCGGGGGAGAGAUGGCGAGCGGCGGCGGCGGCUCGGGUGGGAGAGGGGUAGCGGAAGCGAUGAGGCGUGCGGCAGCGGCGGCGGCUGCGAUAGGGUUUAGGUUAGGAACUUUUAGGAUGAUACCAUGUAGAGAGAGAUAUGUUUGGCAAUGCAACUCAUAAUAUUGAUUGAAUAUGCACAGAUAUACAGAAUACAAUAUGAACCUCUAUCUCAACUAUACAAAGGCUAGGAGAUAGACCAAACUAUGUACAUAUACACAUGCCCGACCCUAGGGGGGGGGGGGAGGNNNNNNNNNNNNNNNNNNNNNNNNNNNNNNNNNNNNNNNNNNNNNNNNNNNNNNNNNNNNNNNNNNNNNNNNNNNNNNNNNNNNNNNNNNNNNNNNNNNNNNNNNNNNNNNNNNNNNNNNNNNNNNNNNNNNNNNNNNNNNNNNNNNNNNNNNNNNNNNNNNNNNNNNNNNNNNNNNNNNNNNNNNNNNNNNNNNNNNNNNNNNNNNNNNNNNNNNNNNNNNNNNNNNNNNNNNNNNNNNNNNNNNNNNNNNNNNNNNNNNNNNNNNNNNNNNNNNNNGGGGGGGGGGGGAGGGGCGGCCGCCACGGGCCCCCGGAACCAGAGGGGCCCCCAACUCAGGUACGUGUGAGCGCCCCACCCCCAAUCUAUCGGAGACGCCACCAGAGCAGUUACAAAGUAGCUGCGGUAUGGCUCCGGGAAGAAGAAAGUCGAAACGGUAUUUCUUUUAGCUAAAUGGGCUUUGGGCCUUUGUUUCCUUUAGCUAAAUCGUGGUGUUAAGUGGUUGUGGGCUUCCUCUAAAAGAAGUAGUGGUGGGUUAUGUGUAAGAAAAAAUGAUGACGGGCCACACCAAGCUAGAGGAGGGAGAGGAGCACAUCGGUACAAAACUUAUAAAAGAAAGAAAAAAGAAGAUUGGUGAAUUCACAUGCCCACGUCUUGCCUGGUAUUACAACCCUGGCAAACUAAUAAGUUUUUCUUUUUUAUUGUAAAAUAAAUCUAUUUUUUUGCAAGUGUAGCAAACUAAUACUCUAUCUUGAUAAGAAAAAUAAACAUAUCAAAUUCAGUAUAUGUGCGGAGUCCCUAAAGAAAUGUAUCGUAGCGGAGAGACAAUAGCAACACGCACGGUGACGACGGACUGAUGACAUGAGCGUGCACUAUGGUCAUACUAUGAUAGCCAAAUAUGGAUGACUCAGUUGGUACUCUCGUCUUCAUAACUUUAUAUCAAUAAACACAAAUUGAAUUGAUUGUUCUACUUUGGUGUUAUGAAUUGAGAGUUGAUUGUUCUACUUUGGUGUUAUGAAUUGAGAGUUGAUUUUCUACUUUGGUGUGAAUAUUCAUAUGUGUCAUUUUAAUUGUUAUUUUUCUUCUUUAUAUUUUUGUAUAUAUGAACUUUUUUUUUCAUCUAUUAAGUUUUUUCAUUCAUAAAUUUAUUGUUUGCUCGGUCAUCAUGCUUGCGCGUAACUUGCCUGCAAAUGGGUAAAUGCAAUUUAGAUGAUCUUCUGUAUUCUGCUGCCUCAUUGUGACGACAAACUCUUGAUAUCAUGUGUGUCCCGGUCAGAAAUGACCCAUCACCGCCCUCAACGAGUCCUACCAAGAUGCGGUAUUGUGCACAUUAGCCCCCGCAUCGUCGUGAUCUUAUAGAACACAUGUGUCUGAUUCUCUUUCCAUAGAUAUCAUCGUUAAAGACCUUGUGUGCAAUCUUUUUGUGUGUGUGUGGUGGGGGGCUACCGGCCUUGCAUAUACAUGCAAACUACUUACUCCGUUUUUAAAUAUAAGUCUUUAAAGAGGUUUCAUGAAUGAACUACAUAUGGAUGUAUAUAGACAUAUUUUAGAGUGUAGAUUCACUUAUUUUGCUUCUAUAUGUAAACUCCUAAUGAAAUAUCUUAAAAGACUUAUAUUUAGGAACGGAGGGAGUAUAUGUUUAACAAGAUCAUUGGGCGCGGACCGCGGAGGUAGCGUAUUUCCACGAGCCAGCCGGUGACGACGAUGUAGAAGCUUCUUUCAGGGCCCCCCGUCCAUGCGCUGUGCAAGUACAAGUCUGACCGACGUGAGGCGCUGUACCAAACGAAGCGUAGCAAGUACAGCCAGAAUCAUCUGAAGCUUAGCAGCCAGCGGCCGCCGGCCGUUACCUGCAGCAUGCAUGUGACUGCACACUACGCCAAGAAGUCCGCGGCUAUAGACAACGCUCUGAAAAUAACUCUUUUGCACAGACGCGUGGAAUUCCGUGGUGGCCCGUCGGAUUUUCCCCCCGCAAAUAAAGAUCGCGCGCGCAACGUGGAACAGCUGGAUAGGGUAGCACGAGCCACGAACGGUGCAUCGUCAGCGCAUUUCCCUGCGCUGCACCCGAGCUGAGCAGCUAUAAAUUGAGCUGCAAGCCCAGCAGCUUCAUCACACAGGCGUCUUGCAUAGCUCUCCUUGCGCUAUACUACAUUUCACGAGCCGACUAGCUGAAGGUGAGUUAGCAUGGCGAGGCCUGCUGCCCUCGCGGUGUGCGCCGCCGCGCUCCUGCUCGCCGUGGCGGUGGGCGGCGCCGCGGCGCAGGGCGUGGGCUCGGUCAUCACGCGGUCGGUGUACGCGAGCAUGCUGCCCAACCGCGACAACUCGCUGUGCCCGGCCAGGGGGUUCUACACGUACGACGCCUUCAUCGCCGCAGCCAACACCUUUCCGGGCUUCGGCACCACCGGCAGCGCCGAUGACAUCAAGCGCGAGCUCGCCGCCUUCUUCGGCCAGAC